UCUACAAAAUGGAUUCCUUGGUCAUAAUUCUCUUACUCUUUUCCAUACUUAAGCCAGGUUCACCCUCUGAAAUACGGUUGACUCAAUCUGAUGGAGAAACACUGAAACCUGGAGAAUCCCUCAAGCUGACUUGUGCUGUCUCUGGUGAAUCCAUUAGUAGUGGCGAUUUUUGGAACUGGAUCCGCCAACCCUCAGGAAAGGGGCUGGAAUGGUUAGGGUGGGGAUACUUCAGCCUCAUCGAUUACACUUGGGAAACUGAUUAUGGCUCAGCUUUCAGCAGCAGGAUCAACAUAACAGUUGAUGACUCCAGAAAUGAAUAUUAUCUGCAGCUGAAUUCCGUGACAACUGCAGACUCUGGCACCUAUUACUGUGCAAGAGACACAGUGACACAGUGUAAAUCCAUCUUCUUUACAAAAAGGGAGAAGUGUGAUUCUCAUAGACACUGCAGAGCCUAUCUCUAUGUGUCUGCUCCAGAACAAGUUUGCAUUCAGACCUAGUUUAAAUCUGCAAUU